AGGAUUAUAGUUAAUUAUAACGUUUAAUUUGCAUUUAAAAAUUAUUGAUCUAUCAAUUAAUCUUU
rnacentral:tRNA from 1 species